GACGAACGCUGGCGGCGUGCUUAACACAUGCAAGUCGAACGGAAAGGCCCUUCGGGGUACACGGGGGGCGAACGGGUGAGUAACACGUGGGUGAUCUGCCCUGCACUUCGGGAUAAGCCUGGGAAAUUGGGUAUAAUACCGGAUAGGACCACUGCCUGCAGGGGUGGUGGUGGAAAGCUUUUGCGGUGUGGGCUGGGCCGGCGGCCUGUCAGCUUGUUGGUGGGGUGCUGGCCUACCAAGGCGACGCGGGGUAGCGGGCCUGAGAGGGUGACCGGCGACACUGGGACUGGGGUACGGCCCAGACUCCUACGGGAGGCAGCAGUGGGGAAUAUUGCGCAAUGGGGGCAAGCCUGAGGCUGCGACGCCGCGUGAGGGAGGACGGCCUCCGGGUUGUAAACCUCUUUCAGCACCGAUGAAGCGCAAGUGACGGUAGGUGCAGAAGAAGGACCGGCCAACUACGUGCCAGCCGCCGCCGUAA
rnacentral:rRNA from 1 species